rnacentral:rRNA from 1 species
AUCAACUUUCGAUGGUAGGAUAGAGGCCUACCAUGGUGGUAACGGGUAACGGGGUGUUAGGGCACGACACCGGAGAGGGAGCCUGAGAAACGGCUACCACAUCCAAGGAUGGCAGCAGGCGCGCAAAUUACCCAAUCCCGACACGGGGAGGUAGUGACAAUAAAUAACAAUACAGGGUUCUUUUGGAUCUUGUAAUUGGAAUGAGUACAAUUUAAAUCUCUUAACGAGGAACAAUUGGAGGGCAAGUCUGGUGCCAGCAGCCGCGGUAAUUCCAGCUCCAAUAGCGUAUAUUAAAGUUGUUGCAGUUAAAAAGCUCGUAGUUGAAUUUCGGGAUCAAUAUGUUGGUCGUGCCUUUGGUACGUACUAGUUUAUUGGUUUCUUCCUUCUGACGAACCAUGAUGUCAUUAAUUUGGUGUCAUGGGGAAUCAGGACUGUUACUUUGAAAAAAUUAGAGUGUUUAAAGCAGGCUCACGCUUGAAUACAUUAGCAUGGAAUAAUGAAAUAGGACGUUUGAUUCUAUUUUGUUGGUUUCUAGGAUCGACGUAAUGAUUAAUAGGGAUAGUUGGGGGCAUUAGUAUUCAAUUGUCAGAGGUGAAAUUCUUGGAUUUAUUGAAGACUAACUACUGCGAAAGCAUUUGCCAAGGAUGUUUUCAUUAAUCAAGAACGAAAGUUAGGGGAUCGAAGACGAUCAGAUACCGUCGUAGUCUUAACCAUAAACUAUGCCGACUAGGGAUCGGAUGAUGUUAAUUUUUUAAUGACUCAUUCGGCGCCUUACGGGAAACCAAAGUGUUUGGGUUC